rnacentral:rRNA from 1 species
GGCAAAUCCCAAGCCGCUGUAUGGCAGGAUACAGACCAAGACGACAACCUUGGUUAGCUCACCUGUCUUCGGGGCGGUAAGCCACAGGGCAUCGCCGGCGAAGUCAAUCUGCAUCUCUUCCCCAGGAAUAUAGGUGUUAUGGAAGCUGAGGUUGUGUGAGUACUGAUACUCACGGAUUGACUUCUUGAACUGGGUGUAUCCAUAUCCGUCGGGAUGCUCCUUCUUGUAUGACUCGUGCAGGGCUUGAAUGGUGAGGUAGCGGUUAUGCGACAAGUCUGACACAUAUUCAGGCAACAGCCCGUCCAGCACCUGACGUUGGGAAGAUGGGGCUGCUGUGUAGUCCAGUAUGUGAAGCGAAAUGCAGCAUAGCGGUAUCCUGAGUAACGCGGGACACGAGGAAUCCUGCGCGAAUCUGCCGGGACCAUCCGGUAAGGCUAAAUACUCCCGUGAGACCGAUAGCGAACGAGUACUGUGAAGGAAAGGUGAAAAGAACCCCGAGCAGGGGAGUGAAAUAGUUCCUGAAACCAUACGCCUACAAGCGGUCGGAGCAUCGCAAGAUGUGACGGCGUGCCUUUUGCAUAAUGAUCCUACGAGUUACCGUCACUGGCGAGGUUGAGUGUCAUGAGACACGUAGCCGCAGUGAAAGCGAGCCUGAAUAGGGCGCACAGUCAGUGGGGGUAGACGCGAAACCAAGUGAUCUACACUUGGCCAGGAUGAAGUCCCGGUAACACGGGAUGGAGGUCCGCACCAAUAAGCGUUGAAAAGCUUCUGGAUGAGCCGAGUGUAGGAGUGAAAGGCCAAUCAAACUUGGAGAUAGCUCGUACUCCCCGAAAGGCAUUUAGGUGCCGCGUCGGAUGGUCACCGUGAGAGGUAGAGCGACCGAUAGGACAAGAGGGCUUCACCGCCUAUCGAGUCCUGACGAACUCCGAAUGCUCACGGUCUGCAGUCCGGCAGUAAGGGGGCGGGUGCUAAGGUCCGUCCCCGAGAGGAGAAGAAUCCAGACCGCCGUCUAAGGUCCCGGAGUUCUGCCUGAGUUAGUCUAACGAAGUCUGGUCCCUAUGACAGCUAGGAUGUUGGCUUGGAAGCAGCCAUUCAUUCAAAGAGUGCGUAACAGCUCACUAGUCGAGGGUCCGGGCAUGGAUAAUAAUCGGGUAUAAGGCAGACACCGAAGGCGCGGGAUAGCAAUUUUAAAAGUAUCGGUAGGGGAGCAUACUCACAGCGUCGAAUGGUGUACGUAAGUUAUCCUGGAGCGGUGAGUAAAGCAAAUGUAGGAAUAAGUAACGAUAAGGAGGGUUAGAUUCCCUCCCGCUGUAAGACCAAGGUUUCCCGGGCAAUGCCAAUCAGCCCGGGGUCAGUCGGGUCCUAAGUCUAAGCCGAACGGCGAUGGCGAUGGCAGAGACGGUUAAUAUUCCGUCACUGCCGCAUGGGGCGACGUGGAGACGGAGCAGUGAAACCACCGCGGGGCGACGGAAGUCCCCGUUGAAGGGUGUAGGCGUUGAGGAAGGCAGGCAAAUCCACCUUCCGAGCUGAACCUGACAGUACGGAGUCCUCCUCGGAGGAAUCUGAUAGUGUGGGUAAUCAUACUCCCGAGAAAAUCCGCUAAGCUUAACCCAUGCGGCACCCGUACCGCAAACGGACACACGUGGUCGGGUAGAACAUACUAAGGCGUUGAGAGAUUCAUGGUUAAGGAACUAGGCAAAUUGACCCUGUAACUUCGGGAUAAAGGGUCCUCGUGAUGAGCGAGGCGCAGAGAAUAGGUCCAGGCAACUGUUUAACAAAAACACAGGGCUGUGCAAACUCGAAAGAUGACGUAUACAGCCUGACACCUGCCCGGUGCCGGAAGGUUAAGAGGAGAUGUCACUCGCAAGAGGAAGCAUUGAAUUGAAGCCCCGGUAAACGGCGGCCGUAACUAUAACGGUCCUAAGGUAGCGAAAUUCCUUGUCGGGUAAGUUC